AUUGAACGCUGGCGGCAUGCUUUACACGUGCAAGUCGAGCGGUAACAGGUUAGGCUGACGAGUGGCGAACGGGUGAGUAAUGCAUCGGAACGUGCCCGAUCGUGGGGGAUAACGCAGCGAAAGCUGCGCUAAUACCGCAUACGAUCUGAGGAUGAAAGCGGGGGACCGUAAGGCCUCGCGCGAUCGGACCGGCCGAUGUCAGAUUAGGUAGUUGGUGGGGUAAAGGCCCACCAAGCCGACGAUCUGUAGCUGGUCUGAGAGGACGACCAGCCACACUGGGACUGAGACACGGCCCAGACUCCUACGGGAGGCAGCAGUGGGGAAUUUUGGACAAUGGGCGAAAGCCUGAUCCAGCAAUGCCGCGUGCAGGAAGAAGGCCUUCGGGUUGUAAACUGCUUUUGUACGGAGCGAAAAGGUCCUUUCUAAUACAAGGGGCUCAUGACGGUACCGUAAGAAUAAGCACCGGCUAACUACGUGCCAGCAGCCGCCGUAA
rnacentral:rRNA from 1 species